GAGGGUAUAGCUCAGUGCUAGAGCGCAUGCCCAGCAUGCAUGAGGGUCCUGGGUUCAAUCCCCAGUACCUCCA
rnacentral:tRNA from 1 species